AAUGUAUAUAAAUCAGAUUUAUGUUUGCACAAUUUGUAACCAUUGUAAGUUUGUUGCGCAUUCUGAUGUUCUGCUGCGGAACGGAGACAAAGCGUCCUCUCAGAGGAGUGAACAGGUGGCAUCUGUGCGUUUGAAGGGAGUCGCGGUUGAUUAUGCCCUAGAAUGGAUUAUUUCAGAAGGAAUAGCAACACAGCAUUGUGUCAAUAGCAUGAUCGUGCCAUUCUGACUUGGACCUGUGGCUUCUGAUUCAGCCUGAGAGGUAAUUCACCAGUGAUUUAUAGGGGAGGCACUGUGUUGGACCCUACAAUAAAGGAGUAACUGCCA
rnacentral:lncRNA from 1 species